rnacentral:misc_RNA from 1 species
GAUGAAGAACGCAGCGAAAUGCGAUAGGUAAUGUGAAUUGCAGAAUUCAGUGAAUCAUCGAAUCUUUGAACGCACAUUGCGCCCGCCAGUAUUCUGGCGGGCAUGCCUGUUCGAGCGUCAUUUCAACCAUCAAGCCCCCGGCUUGUGUUGGGGACCUGCGGCUGCCGCAGGCCCUGAAAACCAGUGGCGGGCUCGCUAGUCACUCCGAGCGUAGUAAUACAUCUCGCUCAGGGCGUGCUGCGGGUUCCGGCCGUUAAAAAGCCUUAUUUACCCAAGGUUGACCUCGGAUCAGGUAGGAAGACCCGCUGAACUUAAGCAUAUCAAUAAGCGGAGGA